UGCUAUUUGGGUGAGGAUAACCAUGCGAGUUGUAUGGGAUACCUAGAUUUCCCAUAGCAAACUGCUUAGUAACACAUGAUCAACUUACCCUAUGGAGAAAUAUAACCUCGGGAAACUGAGGAUAAUACUUCAUAGUUGAAUAGGCUUGGAAAAGUUUUUCAAUGAAAGGGAUAAGAAAAAUGGUUCUUAUCUGCCAUAGGAUAGGAUCGUGCUCGAUUAUGGUUGUUGGUGAGGUAAAGGCUCACCAAGCCGAUAAUCGAUAGGGGCCGUGAGAGCGGGAGCCCCAAGAUGGGUACUGAGACAGCGACCCAGGCCUUACGAGGCGCAGCAGGUACGAAACCUCCGCAAUACACGAAAGUGUGACGGGGUUACCCAAAGUGUUCUUAUAGAACUGUGGCAGGUGAGUAAUGUCCCCUGCUAAAAGGAGAGGGCAAGGCUGGUGCCAGCCGCCGCGGUAAAACCAGCUCUUCAGUGGUCGGGAUAAUUAUUGGGCUUAAGUGUCC
rnacentral:rRNA from 1 species